ACGGGAGGCAGCAGUGGGGGUUAUUGCGCAAUGGGGGAAACCCUGACGCAGCAACGCCGCGUGCAGGAAGACGGCCUUCGGGUUGUAAACUGUUGUCGCAAGGGAAGAAGACAGUAACGGUACCUUGUGAGAAAGCCACGGCUAACUACGUGCCAGCAGCCGCGGUAAUACGUAGGUGGCAAGCGUUGUCCGGAUUUACUGGGUGUAAAGGGCGCGUAGGCGGGCUUUCAAGUCAGAUGUGAAAUACCGGGGCUUAACUCCGGGGCUGCAUUUGAAACUGUAAGUCUUGAGUAUCGGAGAGGAAAGCGGAAUUCCUAGUGUAACGGUGAAAUGCGUAGAUAUUAGGAGGAACACCAGUGGCGAAGGCGGCUUUCUGGACGACAACUGACGCUGAGGCGCGAAAGCGUGGGGAGCAAACAGGUUUAGAUACCCUGGUA
rnacentral:rRNA from 1 species